rnacentral:lncRNA from 1 species
UUUCUGUCUUCCCUGACUCAACAAUAGGGGUCAGCUGCUUCUGUCCAUUGGUUGAGUGCAAAUAUCUGUAUCUGAGUAUUUGAGCUGCUUGUUGGGUCUUUCGGAGGGCAGUCAUGCUAGAUCCCUUUUUGUGAGUGCUCCAUCCCUUCAGUCAUAGUGCCAGGCCUUGGGACAUUGAGCCGGAUCCCACUUUGGGAAAGUCCUGUCGCUGGACCUUCUUUUUCUCAGGCUCCUCUCCAUUUCCUUACAUAAUUUUUUAUGAGACAUAGUG